CCCUUAGAUGUUCUGGGCCGCACGCGCGCUACAAUGAUGAAUUCAACGAGUUUAUGACCUUGGUUGAAAAGCCUGGGUAAUCUUUUGAACUUUCGUCGUGAUGGGGCUAGACCCUUGCAAUUAUUGGUCUCCAACGAGGAAUUCCUAGUAAACGCAAGUCAUCAGCUUGCAUUGAUUACGUCCCUGCCCUUUGUACACACCGCCCGUCGCACCUACCGAUUGAAUGGUCCGGUGAAAUCUUCGGAUUGAGACUUUGAUUUCUUCACGGAAAACGCUGUUUUAAAAAGUUGAUUAAACCUUACCAUUUAGAGGAAGGUGAAGUCGUAACA
rnacentral:rRNA from 1 species